rnacentral:rRNA from 1 species
GAGUUUGAUCCUGGCUCAGAUUGAACGCUGGCGGCAGGCUUAACACAUGCAAGUCGAACGGUAACAUGAGUGCUUGCACUUGAUGACGAGUGGCGGACGGGUGAGUAAUGUAUGGGGAUCUGCCGAAUGGAGGGGGACAACAGUUGGAAACGACUGCUAAUACCGCAUAAUGUUGAGAAACCAAAGCAUGGGACCUUCGGGCCAUGCGCCAUUUGAUGAACCCAUAUGGGAUUAGCUAGUUGGUAGGGUAAAGGCUUACCAAGGCGACGAUCUCUAGCUGGUCUGAGAGGAUGACCAGCCACACUGGAACUGAGACACGGUCCAGACUCCUACGGGAGGCAGCAGUGGGGAAUAUUGCACAAUGGGGGAAACCCUGAUGCAGCCAUGCCGCGUGUAUGAAGAAGGCCUUCGGGUUGUAAAGUACUUUCGGUAAUGAGGAAGGUGGUGUAUCUAAUAGGUGCAUCAAUUGACGUUAAUUACAGAAGAAGCACCGGCUAACUCCGUGCCAGCAGCCGCGGUAAUACGGAGGGUGCGAGCGUUAAUCGGAAUGACUGGGCGUAAAGGGCAUGUAGGCGGAUAAUUAAGUUAGGUGUGAAAGCCCUGGGCUCAACCUAGGAAUUGCACUUAAAACUGGUUAACUAGAGUAUUGUAGAGGAAGGUAGAAUUCCACGUGUAGCGGUGAAAUGCGUAGAGAUGUGGAGGAAUACCGGUGGCGAAGGCGGCCUUCUGGACAGAUACUGACGCUGAGAUGCGAAAGCGUGGGGAGCAAACAGGAUUAGAUACCCUGGUAGUCCACGCUGUAAACGAUGUCGAUUUGGAGUUUGUUGCCUAGAGUGAUGGGCUCCGAAGCUAACGCGAUAAAUCGACCGCCUGGGGAGUACGGCCGCAAGGUUAAAACUCAAAUGAAUUGACGGGGGCCCGCACAAGCGGUGGAGCAUGUGGUUUAAUUCGAUGCAACGCGAAGAACCUUACCUGGUCUUGACAUCCACAGAAUCUUGCAGAGAUGCGAGAGUGCCUUCGGGAACUGUGAGACAGGUGCUGCAUGGCUGUCGUCAGCUCGUGUUGUGAAAUGUUGGGUUAAGUCCCGCAACGAGCGCAACCCUUAUCCUUUGUUGCCAGCGAUUCGGUCGGGAACUCAAAGGAGACUGCCGUUGAUAAAGCGGAGGAAGGUGGGGACGACGUCAAGUCAUCAUGGCCCUUACGACCAGGGCUACACACGUGCUACAAUGGCGUAUACAAAGGGAGGCGA